GAUGAACGCUGGCGGCGUGCCUAAUACAUGCAAGUCGAGCGAAUGGAUUAAGAGCUUGCUCUUAUGAAGUUAGCGGCGGACGGGUGAGUAACACGUGGGUAACCUGCCCAUAAGACUGGGAUAACUCCGGGAAACCGGGGCUAAUACCGGAUAACAUUUUGAACCGCAUGGUUCGAAAUUGAAAGGCGGCUUCGGCUGUCUCUUAUGGAUGGACCCGGGUCGCAUUAGGUGGUUGGUGAGGUAACGGCCCACCAAGGCAACGAUGCGUAGCCGACGUGAGAGGGUGAUCGGCCACACUGGGACUGAGUCACGGCCCAGUCUCCUACGGGAGGCAGCAGUAGGGAAUCUUCCGCAAUGGACGAAAGUCUGACGGAGCAACGCCGCGUGAGUGAUGAAGGCUUUCGGGUCGUAAAACUCUGUUGUUAGGGAAGAACAAGUGCUAGUUGAAUAAGCUGGCACCUUGACGGUACCUAACCAGAAAGCCACGGCUAACUACGUGCCAGCCGCCGCGGUAA
rnacentral:rRNA from 1 species